rnacentral:tRNA from 1 species
CGUUGAGAAGCUAAAUAGGUUUCAGCGUUAGCCUUUUAAGCUAAAGAAUGGUGACUGCCGCCCACCCUCAGCGA